rnacentral:rRNA from 1 species
UACGUAGGGACCAAGCGUUGUUCGGAUUUACUGGGCGUAAAGGGCGCGUAGGCGGCGUGGUAAGUCACUUGUGAAAUCUCCGAGCUUAACUCGGAACUGCCAAGUGAUACUGCUGUGCUAGAGUGCAGAAUGGGGCAACCGGAAUUCUUGGUGUAGCGGUGAAAUGCGUAGAUAUCAAGAGGAACACCUGAGGUGAAGACGGGUUGCUGGGCUGACACUGACGCUGAGGCACGAAAGCUAGGGGAGCAAACAGG